rnacentral:rRNA from 1 species
GACGAACGCUGGCGGCGUGCCUAACACAUGCAAGUCGAACGGGGUAAUGACUUCGGUUAUUACUUAGUGGCGAACGGGUGAGUAACGCGUGAGAAACCUGCCUUUCAGUGGGGGACAACAGUUGGAAACGACUGCUAAUACCGCAUAAUGUAUCGAUGGGGCAUCCUGUUGAUACCAAAGAUUUAUUGCUGAAAGAUGGUCUCGCGUCUGAUUAGCUAGUUGGUGGGUAACGGCCCACCAAGGCGACGAUCAGUAGCCGGUCUGAGAGGAUGAACGGCCACAUUGGGACUGAGAUACGGCCCAGACUCCUACGGGAGGCAGCAGUGGGGAAUAUUGGGCAAUGGGGGAAACCCUGAUGCAGCAACGCCGCGUGAAGGAAGACGGUCUUCGGAUUGUAACUUUGUUCUUAGUGAAGAAAAUAGACGGUAGCUAAGGAGAAGCCACGGCUAACUACGUG